AUGGCGUUCUUCGAGGAGAUGGAGUCGUACUACGUCCCCUACCUCCGCACCCACCUACACCAAUUCGCUGCGUCGGUCUCCGCGGCGAGCUGCGAGGAGGGGGCGGGCGACGACGAGGAGUGCCGCGACGAGGCGGCCGCGCUCAGGCUCAAGAUGGUGGCCGUCGCCGCCAUCCUCAUCGCCGGCGCGGUCGGCGUGGCCAUCCCGCUCGUCGGCCGGAGGCGGCGCGGUGGCGGCGGCGGCGGCGGCGAGGGCGCGUCCUCCGGCGGCGGGACGUUCGUGCUCGCCAAGGCGUUCGCUGCGGGGGUCAUCCUCGCCACGGGUUUCGUGCACAUGAUGCACGACGCCGAGGAGAAGUUCGCGGACCCGUGCCUCCCGGCCACGCCGUGGCGCCGGUUCCCCUUCCCGGGCUUCAUCGCCAUGCUCGCCGCCCUGGGCACGCUCGUCAUGGAGUUCGUCGGCACCCGCUUCUACGAGCGCAGGCACGGCGAGGAGGCCUCCGCCGCCGCGGCCGCGCGUGAUGACACCACGGCGCUGCUCGAGGACGGCGCGCUCGCAGGGAUCGCUGCCGCAGCGGUGAGCGGCGACGACGAGAAGCAGGACGCCAUGCACAUCGUGGGCAUGCGCGCGCACGCGGCGGCGCACCAGCAUAGCCAUGCGCAUGGCCAUGACGCGUGCGAUGGAGGAGCCGUGUACGACGCCCAUGCCCAAGCCCACGCCCACGGCCAUGGCCAUGACCAUGGGCAUGGGGGCGACGAGAGGCCGUCCCAAGCUCAUCAUGUCGUUGUCUCGCAGAUUUUGGAAAUGGGGAUUGUAUCGCAUUCGGUGAUCAUCGGGCUAUCCUUGGGCGUUUCGCAGAGCCCAUGUACCAUUAAGCCUCUUGUUGCUGCCCUCUCCUCCCACCAGUUCUUUGAGGGUUUUGCCUUGGGUGGCUGCAUUUCUGAGGCUCAGUUCAAGAAUUUCUCUGCACUCCUGAUGGCUUUCUUCUUUGCUAUCACAACACCUAUUGGGAUCACUGUCGGGGCGGGGAUCGCAUCGUUCUACAACGCCAACAGCCCCAGGGCAUUGGUGGUGGAAGGCAUUCUGGAUUCAAUGUCUUCUGGUAUACUGAUCUAUAUGGCAUUAGUGGAUCUCAUUGCUGCUGAUUUCCUUAGCCGGAGGAUGAGCUGCAAUCCGAGGCUGCAAGUGUGCUCAUACGUUGCCUUGUUUGUCGGGGCUAUUGCCAUGUCAUCACUUGCUAUCUGGGCUUAG
rnacentral:rRNA from 1 species